UACAGAGGUCCCAAGCGUUGUUCGGAUUCACUGGGCGUAAAGGGUGCGUAGGCGGUCGGGCAAGUCUGACGUGAAAUACUGGAGCUCAACUCCGGAACUGCGUCGGAAACUACUCGGCUUGAGGAUUGGAAGGGGGACUGGAAUUCUCGGUGUAGCAGUGAAAUGCGUAGAUAUCGAGAGGAACACCUGUGGCGAAGGCGAGUCCCUGGACAAUUCCUGACGCUGAGGCACGAAAGCUAGGGGAG
rnacentral:rRNA from 1 species